CCUCAGGCUUGCAGCCCCUCCAUGUUUUGUUUGCUGACUGAGAGCUGCGCUUAUUUUCCUGUGGCUUUUUUUGUUUGUUUGUUUGAAUUGUUCCAUUGUCACUUUUCAUAACUUUUGUAAGUUGCAUUUGGGGACAAUGAAGUGGAAAUGAAUCAGUGAAAUAAUGAGAUGUUCCUCAUGAGCCUGCCUUCAUUUUACUGAGAAGGAGGCGAGUCUCUUCCACAGAGCUCAGAAAUGCUCUUUUUCAUCAUCCUUCCUUUAUUUUUUUGCUUCUCCUCCAGUUAGAGCUCCCAGAAUCCCCCAACCAGCAAAGGAUUCUGGGAACCGUAGUAAAAAAAAAAGGGUACGUAAAGUUCCCAGGCUCCGCUCUUUCACAAAACUGGGCGAACUCGGCCACGGAAGCGUCGCCACAGCUUGGCUCCCGCCAAAACUUCAAAGAGAGGCGUUUUUAACAGGAGGAGUAGGGAUUGGAGCUCCCUGGGCCGAAGGGCGGGGCGAAGAACGCACGGGGCCCAAUCCAAGCUGAGGGCUUAAGCAGCCGCCCGUUCUGCCUUUCUUUCCACCACCCCCGUCUCCUCGGAAACAAAUCCCGCCCUCUCAUCUUUUUUUUUCUCCCGGCCGGUCAAGGGAAGGCGUGCGUUUCCAGUGCGCAGGCGCCGUUUCUUAGUCCGCGGUGCGCAGGCGCCCUUGGCGAAGGGUCCGCGAGGAAGGCUCGAGCGAGCCAGGUGGAGCGGGCUCUUGCGAUCACGUUGGCCGCCCCGAGCAUGGGGCAGUCGACCCACUUCGGUGCCGUCUUCUCUCUUCACCUCUGUGUUUGGUCCAGAGAGGGUCACCGUGCGCAAAAGACCUGAAGAAGAGGAAGAGGACGAAGUAGGGGAUGGGCAAAAUCGCCACGCUCCCGUUUCCUUGCAUUUGCCUCUCACACAAUCCCGAAAAGUCUUGAACCCACGUUACAAAGUGAGCUCAAUGGAAGCCUGUCUAGGCCCUGAGAUUGUUCUGGGGAGAUUCAGCCGCUGAUGCACGCAGUGAGCUUGAAGGGGAUCCAACACCUGGUCUUUGAGGUGGUGGCUCCCCAUUUACGUCCCUAAAUAAGUAUCUCUGCCCACCGUUUUUGUUUUACGUAGGACAGUACCGUCCUCUUUUGAUAAUUUUUUUGCAGGGUGCAGGUGGUGUCCAAUAAAUUAUUGCUCUGUUUAAUUUUGGGUGGUUCA
rnacentral:lncRNA from 1 species